rnacentral:rRNA from 2 species
GAAGAACGCAGCUAAUUGCGCGUCAACAUGUGAACUGCAGGAUACAUGAACAUUGACAUUUCGAACGCAUAUUGCGGUCCUCGGAUACUGUUCCCGGACCACACCUGGCUGAGGGUCGU